CGCCAUGCAAGUAUAAGUACAUUUUUUGAAAUUGCGAACGGCUCAUUAGAGCUUAUAUAAAGUUUUGGGGUGCCUUUUAGGCUAUCUUCGACAAAUUGAAGCUAAUACAUGCAAACAUGUCCUUUUCGAAGGGCGCAAUAUUAGAACUACUGGCUUGCCGGCGGUUGAUUUCAAUUAUCGUUUCGAUAUCGGAAGGCGACUUCCGAUGGCCGUAAACUGUGUACGCCCUAUCACCCAGCAGGUUAAUCAUUCGCUAACCAGGGGUAUUACGGGUAACGGAGAACUAGGGUUCGUCUCCGGAGAAGAAGCCUUUGAAAGGCUACUACAUCCAAGGAAGGCAGCAGGCGCGUAACUUAUCCACUACCACAGAGAGAUAGUAACUAGUCUUAACUAUUGACUGAUCUUUUAGGUUAGUCAUGGUCCAUGAGUUGAGCCUAAAUAGCUCUUCCAGGACCAAGUGGAGGGCAAGUCUGGUGCCAGCAGCCGCGGUAAUUCCAGCUCCACUAGCGUAAAAUAUUACUGCUGCGGUUAAAAAGCUCGUAGUUGAAUCUAGUCGUGUCCGUUGGGUUUGUCGUUGGCGUUUAUUCGUCUUUGGCGUUAAUUCACGGCCGAUUUUUGCUGGUUUGCUGUUGGUCUUCGGAUCUUCGGUGGCUAGCGAGUUACUUUGAUCAAAUCAGAGUGCUCAAAACAGGCGAAAGCUUGUAUGAUUUCUCGAGGAAUAACAGAAGAGGACUUCGGUUCUAUUUGUUGGUUCCAGAAUCGUUUAAUGGUUAAGAGGGACAAUUCGGGGGCAAACGUAUCCUCGCGCGAGGGGUGAAAUCCGUAGACCGUGAGGAGACGACCAAUAGCGAAAGCAUUUGCCAA
rnacentral:rRNA from 1 species